UGUAUUAAUAUAAUAUACCUUCUGCCCAAUGAACACUUUUUAAUGGCCGCUGUGGCGCUAAGGUAGCAUAAUAAUUUGUUUCUUAAUUAGAAAAUAGAAUGAAUGAGUUUACCAUAUAGAUAUCUUCUAUUGGGAACUUGUGAUUUUAAAGGUUUGGUGAAAAUACCAAAAUAUGUCACUCAGACGAUAAGACCCUAUGAAGCUUUAUUAAUACUAGUUUUAUUAAAAUUGUUUCUAUUGGUUAAUUUAGUUGGGGUAACAAAUAAUUACGUUAUUAUUAUAUGCGUUUAACAUAUCAUGAUCCUACCAGGAUCCUCAGAUUAAGCUACUCUAGGGAUAACAGCACAAUAAUUUCAAAAGUUCUUAUUAGAAAAAUUGUUUGUGACCUCGAUGUUGAAUUAAAAUAAUUAUACUGUGCAGCUGCUUAUAUAUUUUUAGUCUGUUCGACUAUACAAUU
rnacentral:rRNA from 1 species